rnacentral:snRNA from 1 species
GGCUGUGAGGAGGAUCUGACUGUGUAUGACAUUUGUUACCCCACCGAUGGCCAGCGUUGGCCUAAGUGAUCUGGCUGGCUAUAUGGGUGUCCCCUUCCUCCAUCACUGAUCCAUGUAUGUCCUUCCUGAAGCUGCAAUACUAAAUGGAAGAGGGCAACCUUCCCUAUUGGGAAAGGCAGGAGGAUGGGUCUUUGGUCAAAGGUAGUUGUACUCCCCUGCUAGAGCCUCCCAGCAAGAUCUUAAGAAGCUGGGACAAGUCUCUUGUAGUCACAGUUUGAACAACUAUUAAGUCUCAAUGGCCUUAGAACGAGUGGGAAAAGCCUAGGAAUAGAUUUU